ensembl:lncRNA
CAGUACUUUAAUUCCUAUUGAUAGAGAAGAUAAAAUAAGUUAGUCUAUAUUUAGGUUUUAUUUGGGUAUUUGUGAUAAUUAAUAAGAAGGGAAGGAAACGUCUGUCCUAGAAAUGGAGAAGAUGAGAGGGGAUGGAGCAGCAAAAAAAAAAAAUUGGCUGCAUCAGCUAAGACUGCUGGGAAAAAAUAAGAUUGGCAAAAAAGUGGCUGAAUUUUAGUUUGGAGAACCGUGAAGGAAAGAAGAAUUUCAGCAAAUACAUCAGAAGAUGGAGUGGAGCCAAGGAGGAAGGUCCACAGUUGAUGGGCAUCUGGGCUGUUCCCAAGUUUUCGCUACUACAAACUGUGCUGCUAUGAACGUGGGCGCACAUAUAUCACUGUGUCUGAAAGCAGUUCAUCACUUCAGAUAAAGUCAGACACAAUCACAGAAGCAUCUGGCUGGAGAGGACCCGAGAGCUCAUCUCAUUUAGACCCUCACUUCUAGACUGGGUAUUGCUGUGAUGGAUUCAGGUUUUUGCAUCCUGCAUUCUGCACAAGCUUCUCUCAUUAUCAAAGGAAAAAAGUCGAGAGAGUGAAUGUGGAGCCUCAAGCAAACAUUUCUGAAAAUACUGCAUUAGACUUGUGAAUUGCAAAAUAUAUAGAUCACCUCCAUUUGCCCACUCACCUCCUGCCCUCCUACAGAAUAAGAGUUAUUUAUAUAACCUGAGGUGGGGCACCCAACAGUACUCCCUAUUCUUAUCUAGCCUCCUCUGCUUGGUCUUUCAUGCCAAAGCUGCAGGAGCAAACCAGGUCUGCCUUGAAGUUUGAAAGGUUCUGAGAUUUGGGUGUGAACGCAAGAUUAUAAAAGUCCUUCUUUCUCCUUCUAUCACUCUGGAUUAAUUGGUGGAAAGUUUUAAGGGCCAGAGCGGUCUCUAGGUCUCAGAUGAAUGCUCUCUGUUUGCCUCUUGGAGCACUGUCUUCUAGAAAGCCUGGCUCUCCAGGGACAGUCCCCUCCUCACUGGCUGGGCAGGGAUCUUGGUGUACCCAACACUUGAGGCCUCCCUAGUUCCCCAGACUGUCUUUUUUGCCUCCAGGUUAGCCAUGGGCCAAGGCAUACUAAAAUUUCUCUUCACAAGGAUACCUAGGAAAAGAGAUCCUACACUACCUAGAGAUCCAAAUUCAUAUUUGUCAUUAGGUUGGUAAACUCUGCUCUGUUUUAUCUUCACCUCUCUCCUUCUUGGCUUCUAUGGGAAUAAUAUAUUAAUUCUUUAGCAUUUAUUAAAAACGCUGCCCGAUUUGGUUGCGUAAAUUAACGGAAACUAUGGCUUCUAAUUCAAAGGUCAGGGACAUUUUGAAGAAUCAAAAAGGGAAGGGUUCAAGGAUGUGUCCACAGCAGAGUGCAUUACCAGUAGGGGUCAGGCCCAGUAGGCACUGUUGUCAAGGGCUUUGGUCACUUGGGAGCAGCCGUCAGACUGGCACUGAUAGGGGUGGGAUAGCACAGCCCACAGACACCUGUCCAUCUGCUUGACAGACACAGAGCCCAGUCAAUUGAAGACAAGCUGUCUGCCUCACUAUUCUGUACAUGAAUAGAUCUGACUUUUCCACUAGUUAGAGUGGAGGACAGAAUUUUGGUAUAUAUGGACAUUAAGAGCACCGAAGUGUUAGUGUCAGUGGAUCUCAGUUGGUUCUGCAAGGUCCUAUCUAUGUGACUUUGAGUUUGUUGCAUAACUAUCAAGCCAUACUUCCCUUAUCUCAGAAAUGGUGGUAAUGGUAAUACUUAACUCGUGAGGUUAUUCUGAUGACACAAUGGACAGAAACUUGAAAAUUACUGGCAUGUAAGUGGUAGUUAAUGUUAGAUAUUGUCUUAGUCAAUUGAGAAUGCUGCAACUGAAUACUUUAAAAUGAGUGCUUAAACAAAACACAUUUCACAGUUCUGGGGGCCAGGAAGUCCAAGAUCAGGGUGCCAGCAUGGUCAAGGUUUUGGUGGGAACCUUCUUCCUGGUUUUCAUUUGGCUUUCUUUUUGUUGUGUCUCACGUGGCAGAGAUCAGAAAGAGAGAAAGCAAGCAAGUCCCUUUGUGUUUCUUUUUCUAGGGCACUAAUCCCAUUCAGGGCUUCAUCCUUUUGACCAAAAAUUGCCUCCAAAAAGCCCAUCUUUAAAUACCAUCACACUGGGGAUUAGAUUUGAACAUAUGAAUUUUGAAAGACACAAACAUUCAGGUCAGGGCAGGUAUUGUUAUUAUCUAUCUCCUGCUCCCUUCUCAUCUAAAAGACGCUCUACCUAUAGACAUACUAUUGAAAAUAUAUUUUAGAACGCUCUCUUGUCUCAUUAUACUCUUUUAUUAUCAGUCCUUAACAUCAACCUCAUCUCCAGGAAAGAUUUUAAAGGAUGCCCUUAGUGUCAAGAGAAAGCUAAAUGUUCUUUCAGAAAUAUGGGCAAAAUACUUACAUAUCUACAGAUACUCAUAUGCUGUUCAUGAAUGUAUAAACUGGUAGAACGUUUUCAGAGAGCAAUAUGGCAAUAUGAACAGUAGUCCACUCUUUUUACUAAAUAUAUCUAUUAAUGGAACAGAUGAGAAAACCCAGAAAUAAUCUCAAAUGCACAUAGAAUUUGGUGUAUGAUGAAGAUGACAUUUCAAGUUAAUAGAGUACAGAUGAAUUAUCAAUGAAUUUAAUUGGGACAACUGGGUAGCCAUCUGAUAAAAUAUUAAGUUGGAUCCUUAUGCCAUUUCUUAUGCCAAAAUAAAUUUCAGGAGGAUAAAAUAUACAACUGUGAAAAAGGAAUCCAUAAAAGUGUGAUGAGAAAGCUUGGGGACAAUAAUUUAUAAUGUCAAAGUGAGGAAAAACGUCCCACUAAGAUGUCUUAAAAUUUGUUUCCAUAAAUGUAUGAUUUGUUAAAUGGUAAAAGGCAUGAAAAAUAUUACCAUGUGAAACACAGCCCACAUUUGUGAAAACUGUGACUAAUAUUUCUGCAAGCAGAUUCAUCUGCCAACUUGGGAUUUGUAAGUAAAAAAGUUUCAAUGGACUGUUUUGGUUCCAUCUUGUAUUUCAAAACGCCUUCCACGGAGAAAAAUGCCCAUAAUAUGGGAAGAUUGUGACCCUGUGGUGUACAGUGGAUUAGACACUGGAUGCAAAGAAACUUUCACUUUGCCCCUUCCUGGAUUUUCUGUUUCAGAGUAUGCGGAGGGCAGCCCAGAGAAGCACUAAUCUGGAAAAACAAAAGAAAACAAUUUUUUUCCUCAGUAUUUCCCAAAAUUUCCUAUCUGAAAGCAUUGAGUUUUUAAUUUUUUGAAACAAUAAUAUUGUGUAUAUAUUAUAUGUUGUGAACACCCCCUUCAUAGCAUAUGGGGCUACAUUCUAUAACCAGAUAUGUUUUUAUUUGUGCAGCAAACAAGUGACUAUUCACUUCCAAUGAGAUAAAUGAAAUCUCACAGUAGUCCAGGUCAAGUUUUACACCGAAUGACUUUUGGUAUUGAAUUUUUGAAAAUUCUUAGUUUUGGAGUGUUAUGGAUAAGAGAAUGAGUGCUUAUAUUCAAAGACUGGUUACAAAUCAAUAGAGAAAAAACAACAACCCAUUAGAAAAUGGAAAAGUAUAUGAACAGGGCUGGAGAUUUAGCUCAGUGGUUCUGCCGCCUGCCUCACAAGCGCAAGGACCUGAGUUUGAUACCCAGUACCAAAGAAAAAAAAAGGUAUAUGAACAGGUCACAGAAAAGGAAAUACAAAUGGUUCUUAGAUUAAUACAAAGGUUACCAAUCCCUUUAUUAAUAAAAAAUGCAAAAUAAAGCUACAAGGAACCAUUUUCAUACAUCGGGUGGGUAAAUAUCUGAAAGUUUGAGAAGUAACUGAUGUCAAAAGUGUGAAGAAACACACUCAUGUAUUGCUCAUAGGCACAUAUUAUAGUACAACUUCUAAAGAUAGCUAUUUAACAAGAUCAACAAAAGUUAAAUUAAAUAUGCACUUCUACAUCUGAGAGCUUAUUUUAGAUGUAUGCAAUGAUAGGACACUGAUUAAAACAUUAUACAAAUGUUAUAAACAAAAUGCAGUACAAUUUUAUGUAAUAUUUAGGAAGAAUAUGACUAACCUUUAUGUGUUAACAUAAAACAGUACUCAAGGUAAAUACUAAGAAAAUAAACCAAAAAGCAAGCAAACAACAAAAACAAUGUGUGUAAAUUAGGUUUAUUAAGGUACAAUCUGUGGAGAGGAAAAGAAAAAUUUGACAAAAUUGCCACUUUUGCAAGUCAAAAUUACAAUGUAUAUUAAACAUCAUAACAGUCAUUGUCCCUGUGUAGGAAAACUGAAUGGCUGGGAUACAGAAAUAUGAUAUUUUUCAGCACACAUAUUUUGCCCCCUAUGCAUUUUGACUCAGGAACUACUGAUAAGAAAAUAAGAAAAGAUGACUUAUUCACAUCAUAUUACAGAAACCAUCUAAAGGUCCAAAAAUAUUGGAUUGAUUAAAUAAAUCAUGAUAUCUCCAUAAUGAGCUAUUAUGCAGCUUCAGCAACUAAGUUGUAGAAUAACUUUUAUAUAAAC